AAGGAGGCAGCAAACACAGCAUCAGACAUGGCCAGCCAGAGCUCCACAGAAACCAGCUUUCCCGUGAUGUUCCCUGGCAUGGAGGCUCCAGUCCUACAAGGGCUUGAAACUCAAGAUGUCCUGUGCUAGAGCAUUCCUGAUAGAAAUGUAAAGGAAUAAUGCUCUGUAUUAGAAAGUUCAGAUCUCUCAAUACCCUUAUAAAGCCACUGUGUUUGAGGCAGCCCAGGACACACGGAGAGGCCAAGAGUACUUAUUCUGGCUGAAGUUCCCAGCUGAAGUCUGAGCCCACAGCCAGCAUCAACCUGCAGAUGAGUGAGUGAAUGAGCUUCAAGAAGGUUCCAGCCCACAGCCUUUGCAUCUUCCAAUGAAGGCCCAGACAUUGUGGAGCAGGAAUAAGCCAUCCCUCCCC